rnacentral:misc_RNA from 1 species
GUGAAUCAUCGAAUUUUUGAACGCAUAUUGCACUCUCUGGUAUUCCGGAGAGUAUGCCUAUUUGAGGGUCAUUUGAUAUCAUAUCACUUUCGAGAGUUUCUUGUCUUCUACAAUGGGACGUUCCAGCAUUCGUGUGUUGGUCGCCUAAUAUGCAAGACAAGCUCAUUUCUUGGGUUGCGUGAUACUUUCCGUUACCUCUUGACUUCACAAGGAACCUUUGCGCGUGUUAGGAAUUGUUCACGAGAUAAACUUUCAUUUAUCUCGAUCUC